rnacentral:lncRNA from 1 species
UGACUUUAUCGCCUUACAGGAUGCCGUGGUGGGACAGGCACACGAUGGAUGUUCCCAUUCCAAAAAGGUUCACAGCUCUCCAGCGAGGCUCUCCUGUCCAGUCCACGAGAUGACUUCGGCACACCAACAAGCAGCAGGACCAGGGUCACAGCAGCCUUUGGACCCUGGGAUGUUUCCCGAAGCCCUUCUAGGGCGGCACUGCAACACUGCGUGGGGAAUUACGGCCAGGAGGAAGAGAGUGUGUGCUUCACAUGGGACUGAGAUAUCCCCAUUGUUCCGAGAAAGGAGAUUCAGAGAAGAAGGUAAAAUCAGUGCCUUUUGCCAAAGCCAAAUUUCCGUCUCAUUGCCGUGUCCCAGAAACUUGAUGCCCAGAGCUGGAUCUUGCAGGCUGGUGUCACACUGCAUCAGCGGUAAAGCAAACAGUUUUAGCGGUCAAAUCCCCUGGACCUGGUAUGGAGACCUGGACCCUCUCUAGGAGGGCCAUGGUGCCCAAGAUUAGAGCUGUGGAGGUCCAGGUAAGCUGGGUACGGCGCCACGCUGACCCUUGAGGUAGCAUCUGGAAGCUUCCCGCAGAUAGCCACACAGUACUCAGCUUCACCCUGUCCUGCCCCUGUCCCCAGCCCUGCCCCCCAGACGCCCCUCACUUCAGUGUCCUGGCCUGUUUGUGAAGCCACAGCCACACACUGGCUCCUCAGUCCUGAAGAGGAAGCAUGACAGGUGUCACCUUCCAGGCACUACCUUGCUACGCCGCUCCCUGGGCUCGGUGAGGCCAGGAGAGCUACAGGAGAAGAAGCCUCAAGAAGCUUCUGCAACCUUAGGCGGAGGCUGGGGGAUUCAGAGCAUAGGCCUCGAAGAUACUUCUGGAACCCUAAGCAGCUGCGGACACAAGGGACGCUAUUGCAAGGUAAACAGAAAGCAGAA